rnacentral:rRNA from 1 species
CCUACGGGGGGCAGCAGUCGAGAAUCAUUCACAAUGGGGGAAACCCUGAUGGUGCGACGCCGCGUGGGGGAAUGAAGGUCUUCGGAUUGUAAACCCCUGUCAUGUGGGAGCAAAUUAAAAAGAUAGUACCACAAGAGGAAGAGACGGCUAACUCUGUGCCAGCAGCCGCGGUAAUACAGAGGUCUCAAGCGUUGUUCGGAAUCACUGGGCGUAAAGCGUGCGUAGGCUGUGUCGUAAGUCGUGUGUGAAAGGCGCGGGCUCAACCCGCGGACGGCACAUGAUACUGCGAGACUAGAGUAAGGGAGGGGGAACCGGAAUUCUCGGUGUAGCAGUGAAAUGCGUAGAUAUCGAGAGGAACACUCGUGGCGAAGGCGGGUUCCUGGACAGUAACUGACGCUGAGGCACGAAGGCUAGGGGAGCGAAAGGGAUUAGAUACCCUUGUAGUC